GUCUAUGGCCAUGCCACCCUGAACAUGCCCAAUCCUGUCUGAUUUCAGAAGCUAAGCAGGGUCGGGCCUGGUUAGUACUUGGAUGGGAGACCACCUGGGAAUACCAGGUGCUGUAGGCU
rnacentral:rRNA from 1 species